GUGGGGAAUUUUGGACAAUGGGCGCAAGCCUGAUCCAGCAAUGCCGCGUGCAGGAAGAAGGCCUUCGGGUUGUAAACUGCUUUUGUACGGAACGAAACGGUCCUGGCUAAUAUCCGGGGCUAAUGACGGUACCGUAAGAAUAAGCACCGGCUAACUACGUGCCAGCAGCCGCGGUAAUACGUAGGGUGCGAGCGUUAAUCGGAAUUACUGGGCGUAAAGCGUGCGCAGGCGGUUUUGUAAGACAGGCGUGAAAUCCCCGGGCUCAACCUGGGAAUUGCGCUUGUGACUGCAAGGCUGGAGUGCGGCAGAGGGGGAUGGAAUUCCGCGUGUAGCAGUGAAAUGCGUAGAUAUGCGGAGGAACACCGAUGGCGAAGGCAAUCCCCUGGGCCUGUACUGACGCUCAUGCACGAAAGCGUGGGGAGCAAACAGGAUUAGAAACCCGGGUAGUCC
rnacentral:rRNA from 1 species